rnacentral:rRNA from 1 species
AGUAGUGUAUGGGGAUCUGCCUGAUGGCGGGGGAUAACUACUGGAAACGGUAGCUAAUACCGCAUAAUGUCUGCGGACCAAAGCGGGGGGACCUCCGGGCCUCGCGCCAUCAGAUGAACCCAUAUGGGAUUAGCUUGUAGGUAAGGUAACGGCUUACCUAGGCGACGAUCCCUAGCUGGUCUGAGAGGAUGAUCAGCCACACUGGGACUGAGACACGGCCCAG